UUCCGGUUGAUCCUGCCGGACCCUAUUGCUAUCGGGACGGGACUAAGACAUGCUAGUUUAGCGUCUUCAAGCUAUGAUGGAGACGCAGCGCGCAGCUCAGUAACACGUGGCCAACCUGCCCUUAGGACAAGUAUAACCCCGGGAAACUGGGGAUAAUCCUUGAUAGGUGAGGAAUUCUGGAAUGAGUCUUUGCUUAAAGGACGUGCAGAUCACGCUUCUGUGCGUUGCCUAAGGAUGGGGCCGCGGCCGAUCAGGUUGUUGGUGAGGUAACGGCUCACCAAGCCUAUAACCGGUACGGGCCGUGAAAGCGGAAGCCCGGAGAUGGGCACUGAGACAAGGGCCCAGGCCCUACGGGGCGCAGCAGUCGCGAAAACUCCGCAAUACGCGAAGGCGUGACGGGGCUAUCCCGAGUGCUAUUCGAUGAGAGUAGCUUUUCCUCAGUGUAAAGUGCUGGGGGAAUAAGGAGGGGGCAAGACUGGUGUCAGCCGCCGCGGUAAUACCAGCUCUCCGAGUGAUAGGGACGUUUAUUGGGCCUAAAGCAUCCGUAGCUUGCUAAGUAUGUCCUCCGUUAAAUCCAACGAUUUAAUCGUUGGGCUGCGGGGGAUACUGCUUAGCUAGGAGGCGGGAGAGGCCGACGGUAUUUCCGGGGUAGGGGUGAAAUCCUAUAAUCCCGGGACGACCACCAGUGGCGAAGGCUGUCGGCUAGAACGCGCUCGACAGUGAGGGAUGAAAGCUGGGGGAGCAAACCGGAUUAGAUACCCGGGUAGUCCCAGCUGUAAACGAUGCAGGCUAGGUGUUGGUGUGGCUACGAGCCGCUCCAGUGCCGCAGGGAAGCCGUUAAGCCUGCCGCCUGGGAAGUACGGCCGCAAGGCUGAAACUUAAAGGAAUUGGCGGGGGAGCACCACAAGGGGUGAAGCUUGCGGUUUAAUUGGAGUCAACGCCGGAAAUCA
rnacentral:rRNA from 1 species